rnacentral:rRNA from 1 species
GACGAACGCUGGCGGCGUGCCUAAUACAUGCAAGUUGAGCGCUGAAGGUUGGUACUUGUACCAACUGGAUGAGCAGCGAACGGGUGAGUAACGCGUGGGGAAUCUGCCUUUGAGCGGGGGACAACAUUUGGAAACGAAUGCUAAUACCGCAUAAAAACUUUAAACACAAGUUUUAAGUUUGAAAGAUGCAAUUGCAUCACUCAAAGAUGAUCCCGCGUUGUAUUAGCUAGUUGGUGAGGUAAAGGCUCACCAAGGCGAUGAUACAUAGCCGACCUGAGAGGGUGGUCGGCCCACUUGGGACCGAGGCCCGGCCCCAACUCCUACGGGAGGCAGCAGUAGGGAAUCUUCGGCCAUGGACGAAAGUCUUACCGAGCAACGCCGCGUGAGUGAAGAAGGUUUUCGGAUCGUAAAACUCUGUUGGUAGAGAAGAACGUUGGUGAGAGUGGAAAGCUCAUCAAGUGACGGUAACUACCCAGAAAGGGACGGCUAACUACGUG